CGACAGUAAUCCAAUUUAGUACGAGAGGAACCGUUGGUUCACGCAUUUGGCAAUGCGGUUGAUUGAAACGUCAAUGCCGCGAAGCUACCACGUGCAGGAUUAAGGCUGAACGCCUCUAAGCCCGAAUCCAGGCUGGACAGCCACGAUGUGCGCACUCCGAUGUAGAGACUAAGUAUAGCCUUUGGCCAAGAGUUACCAAGCCGACAAAACGGCGAGCGUUGAUCACAAGUGUACUCAAACAUCGGAAGUGACAAAUCCCUUGUAGACGACUUGACAUGAAAGAGGUAUUGUAAGCUGGAGAGUGCCAUCUUGGCACGAUCCGCUGAGAUUAAGCCUUCGUUUCUUCGAU
rnacentral:rRNA from 18 species